rnacentral:lncRNA from 1 species
UAUCAGCAAAAAAAAUUAUAGUUAUUGAAAAUAAAAUAAUCCCAGAAAGAAAAUAAAGUUAAAAUGGCCUUAUUACAACCCAAAAAUAAAUAGUAAAUAAGAUAAACUAAAGAAAACCAGUCACUUAUUUCAAAUGCCCAAAAGCGAUCACCGUAGCCACUCUGAAUCCCCUCUGGCUCCAAGUCCCCCCAUCAAGGCUCACCUGCAAGGUUAAGGAAGGGGUGAGUUUGGAAACUCAGUGUGCAACAAGCCCCUUUUAGAGCCCAAGACAAUAUCAGCCUGCUGGGCCUAAGCCCAAAUUCAAUCUCAACAUAUACUGGGCCGAAGCCUUUUAUAAACGGUAUGGCCCAUAGGCCCAUUUCAAUAAUACAUGCAACAUCAAUGAACAUAUGCAAGCCCAUUUGGGGAGACUACUCAAUCCACCAACCGCUAUUCUCCACCCGUACCAACCAAGCUCUCCAUGUGGGGAAUAACUCAACCCACCCAACCAAACUCUCCACUGGCAGCAUAGCUGCUUUAUCAUAUAACUGGAGGCCUAGCCUCUUUUAAUAACUGGGGCAAAGCCCUUUUUGAUAAACUGGGGCAAAACCCUUUUUGAUAAACUGGGGCAAAGCCCUUUUCGGUAAACUAGGGCAUAGCCCUUUUGCACUUCCUCCAUCUAUAUAAAAACCAACCCAUGCAUAAAUGAAUACAUCAUGUGCAUAUCAUAUCAAAUCAUGUAUAUCAAAAUCUCAUGCAUCAAACUUAUAAUUAAACCCUAGGGGUAAAAUAGUCAUUUUCAUAUUAUAAGGGUAAUUUCGUAAUUUUACCAAGAUAUCAGAGUUCCCAUGUUCAUCAAAAAUUAUCAAUAACUCCAAGUGUUUAAACAAUGAUUUUAACGCAGUUUAUCAAAUUCAGGCCUUUUGGGCCCAAAACCCCUAAUGGGCUCUAUAUAGCCGAUUUAGUCAUCUAGGCCCAUUUAGCCUAUAUUUCAUAGCGGUAUUAACAGUCUUAACGCGCAAUUUAACAGGAUUUCAUUUGUUACCAACUUUACCCAAAUGGGCCCGGAAGCUCAUUGGGCCCGAUUUUAGCCCCUCGAGGCCCAACUUACCAUCGUGCACCAAACCGUUCCCUUACCUGUUCCAACGAUCCCGAGCAUCGAACUUAGCAAAUCUAAUUGACCUAUGAGCGUUCGCAUGCUCAAGAGUCCUCGAAAUGCCAGAAUUUCGGCAUUUUGGCUUUUCGGCGAAUAUCGAGUUAAGCUACGAAAGAAGGUUCGUUACACACCUGAUUUACGAUAUUCCUUGACAAGAUCUCCUACGCGAUUUCUCCUAUAAUCAACCGCUUAUAGAUUAGAUCAUGUUAAUAUUUAAACCAAAUCGAAAACUACCUAUUAUCAUCACUUACAUAUUCGACCACCAUCCAUAAUGGCCCUAGAAUUCAUACCUUUACCGAAAUUGAUGACUAGAUCUAGAUUUAGUCACUCUGAUGAUCCAAGCUUUUCACACACUCCUCGAUCGGCAGCCUUUAAUCCUCAUUAGCACCAACAAACCAAAUAACACCAAAAAAACCCUUCCAGUCUUAGUCGACAGCCACCCUAUGUAUAUAGGAUUUUUAGCUUUUCUUAAACCACAAGAUACAAAUGGAAAGAAGGUUCGAAUACUUACCAAGAGAUCUACUCGUUGAAGAACGUUCCAAAUACCUUUCUACCCCAAAUCCAUUGUGAAUCCAACUUAAACAUGCGUAGAAAAUAGAUCUAAAUAUUAAUUCCCGAAUCACUAAAAUAUGAGGCUUUUUGGCUUUUGGAUCUAUCCUAGAAUAUGGCUAUUGCGAUCUAAAAGAAAAAAUAGGUGACGAUAAGUUCACCAUCGAAGAGACAAUUAGUAGAGGAAGAGAUGUAAGAUUAGAGAUUCGGUCUUUUGAAAGAUUAAAAGGAAAGGAGAUAUGGUUUCAACCAAAGGAGUAAUCGGCAACCAAUAUUUGAGAAGAAAAAGUUGUUUUAAAAAGAAUUUGGCUUCGAGGAAAGAAAAUAGAAAAGGAGAGAAUUGUUC